rnacentral:rRNA from 1 species
CACGUAGGGUGCGAGCGUUGUCCGGAAUUAUUGGGCGUAAAGAGCUCGUAGGCGGUGUGUCGCGUCGGCCGUGAAAACCUGCAGCUUAACUGUGGGCUUGCGGUCGAUACGGGCAUCACUGGAGUUCGGCAGGGGAGACUGGAAUUCCUGGUGUAGCGGUGAAAUGCGCAGAUAUCAGGAGGAACACCAGUGGCGAAGGCGGCGUCCUGGACCAACACUGACACUGAGGAGCGAAAGCCAGGGGAGCAAACGGG